UGUCUUGACCAAAUUACGUGCCAGCAGUCGCGGUAAUACGUAGGAGACUAGUGUUAUUCAUCUUUAAUAGGUUUAAAGCGUACCUAGACGGUAAAUCAAGCCUGCGAGGGGACUAGUUUACUAGAGUUACUUGUGAGGGGGUAUUAAAGUACUAAUGGUGUAGAGAUGAAAUUCUGUCAUACCUCUUUUUCCGGUAGAAAAAAUUAUGGCACAGGUAUAGGCGAAAGCAUCCCCUUAUGUGAUAACUGACGUUGAAGGACGAAGGCUUUGUGUCGCGAACAGGAUUAGAUACCCCAGUAGUCAAAGCAGAAAAUGAUGAAUGUCAUAGAUUAGGCAUAUAAUAGCUUAUUCUAUAAAUGAAAGUGUAAGCAUUCCACCUCAAGAGUAAUUUGGCAACAUUGGAACUGAAAUCAUUAGACCGUUUCUGAAACCAGUAGUGAAGUAUGUUGUUUAAUUUGAUAAUCCGCAAAAAACCUUACCACAACUUGAAUAUUUAUGUUUAACAUUUAUGAUUUUUUUUUAUAAAAAUGAUAUAUAUUUACAAGCGUUGCACGACUGUCUUCAGUUAAUGUCGUGAGAUUUUGGUUAGUUCCAUUAAAUUAAC
rnacentral:rRNA from 1 species